rnacentral:rRNA from 1 species
UGGGGAAUUUUGGACAAUGGGCGCAAGCCUGAUCCAGCCAUGCCGCGUGUGUGAAGAAGGCCUUCGGGUUGUAAAGCACUUUCGGACGGAACGAAAUCGCGCGUGUUAACACCUCGCGUGGAUGACGGUACCGUAAGAAGAAGCACCGGCUAACUACGUGCCAGCAGCCGCGGUAAUACGUAGGGUGCGAGCGUUAAUCGGAAUUACUGGGCGUAAAGUGUGCGCAGGCGGCGUUGCAAGUCGAGUGUGAAAGCCCCGGGCUUAACUUGGGAAUUGCGCUCGAAACUAUGACGCUGGAGUGUGGCAGAGGAAGGUGGAAUUCCUCGUGUAGCGGUGAAAUGCGUAGAGAUGUGGAGGAACACCGAUGGCGAAGGCAGCCUUCUGGGCCAACACUGACGCUCAUGCACGAAAGCGUGGGGAGCAAACAG